UACGAAGGGGGGCUAGCGUUGCUCGGAAUCACUGGGCGUAAAGGGUGCGUAGGCGGGUCUUUAAGUCAGGGGUGAAAUCCUGGAGCUCAACUCCAGAACUGCCUUUGAUACUGGCGAGCUUGAGUUCGGGAGAGGUGAGUGGAACUGCGAGUGUAGAGGUGAAAUUCGUAGAUAUUCGCAAGAACACCAGUGGCGAAGGCGGCUCACUGGCCCGAUACUGACGCUGAGGUGCGAAAGCGUGGGGAGCAAACAGG
rnacentral:rRNA from 1 species